rnacentral:tRNA from 1 species
GAGAGCGUAGCUUAAAAUGAGAGUGCUAUAUUUUUGCUAUAGAGGUGCAAAUGCCGUUCUUU